AAUCGGGCCAUUUUGUUUAUCUUCUGAAACAAAAGGGAAAUGAUUGAUAGCGGUGCUUGAUUUUGGAAGCGAAUUGUUUGAGUUUCAGCGAUUUAAUAAAAGACGUGAUCCCUAGAGGAUAAAUUCCCUACAAAUUAGAAUACUUCAAGUUUGUUGUCAAAAGUUAAGGAUACGCGACUUUGAGUACAGAUCGCCUUGAAGUAAUAUACUUUGCGAUGGCCACUGCUUUUACUUUAGCUGAGCUGGAAGCCUCCGUCAGCUUUGUUAACUCUGUGAUGAGUCAGGACAGCGAUCUUGAAUGCCUACCAAUUAAACCUGCACAGAAGCUGUAUCAAGCGCAAAAAACCGGUGUUUUAUUCUGCAAAUUAUUAAACCGAGUCCGAAGAGGAACCGUGCCAUGCUCCAGAAUCCAUAAGCAAGUGAGGAAUAUUCAUCAGGCAUUAGAGAAUCAAAAGCUAGUGUUAGAGGGAACACAGCAACUGGGUAUUGAUGUGCACAACGUUACAGCUGAGGACCUCUGGAGUGGAAAGGAAUACUUGGUUUUGGAAGUUCUGUGGAAAAUCGUCCGGGUUGGCUUGCUGUCUCGUGUGAAUGUGGAAAACCAUCCAAACUUGGUAUUGUUGCGCAGGUCAAAUGAAAACUGGCCAAGGUUUGUUAAGCUUUCUGCAGAAGAGUUACUGAUCAGAUGGGUCAAUUAUCAACUGAGACACACAUUUUACAGGGGUCCAGAGAUGACAGACUUCAACCACAGUUUAAAGGACUCUGUGAUAUACAGUUACCUUUUCACUCAGCUUUCCCCACAGAGGUGCAGUUUGUCUCCUUUGGAUGAAGAAGACUUGUUCGUCAGAGCAAAGAAAAUCUUAUCCAUGGCUGAGCUGAUAGGAUGUAAUAAAUACAUAACGCCACAUGAACUUGUUAAGGGAAAUCCACGGCUAAACCUUGCUUUUUUGGCGAACUUAUUCCAUUGUAGGCCAGGACUUGAGUUCCAUGCGACUGAUAUGGAAAGUGCUCGACUUAUAGAGGAACUCAACACGGCUCACGUCAGGUGUCGUUUGGUCGAAGAAGAGCGAAAUCUUUUGAUGGAAGUGAGACGAGAGAUGUCUGGGGAGCUGAAAGACGUGCGUAAGAAACUGGAGGAAAGCCUCAAAGAAAUGGAGAUUCUCAAGAGAAGAGCUUUGGGGCUUGAAGAUGAAAAUAAAUAUUUGACUGACGUCGAUGAGGCUGUUCGACGUCUAAAAGCAGAAAACUCGCUGCUUCAAAUUCAGCUCACUGACUCGAAAGCCGUAGAGGAUGAUUCCCAAGCUACCAUAGCGAAUCAAGAAAUAACAAUUGAUAGCUUGAAGAAAGAAAAAGAGGCACUGGUCAAAGAAUACGAGGAAAAAAUUAACGAACUAGAGAAUAAAAUCUCUGCAACCACUCGAAAACAAACAAAAAUAGUUCUUCAGAAAGAAGCUAUUAUGCAUGAGAGAGACCUCUUAAAACGGAAACAUGACAAAUGCCAAGCAGAACUCAAAAGACUUCAAGCUCAGAUUGAUCGUCGUCAACGACACGUCCAUCAACUUCGUCAGCUUUUUAAAUAUUUUAUUUCCGACAAAGGACUAGCAGAAAAACUUUAUGGGAACUUGGACACGACAUCUCUACAAAGCAGAAACGGCAAAAGCAAAGUGACAAAAUUUUGCCAGGAAGGAGGUUGGUAUUUACGAGAAACAGCUCCACAAAUUUUCCUACUGAAGGAUAAUUUUUUGUUUGUGUUCGAUCGCGAGGAGGAGGACGCCCCUUUACUUGUGCUGCGCUUGGAUCAGGCCACAGUAAACAAACAAGAACAUUGUGUGCUGCAAUUGAAGUUCUCUCAGAAAGAAUUUUCGUACCACAUAAAAGUUUCGCCCGCCUCAUAUGUCAAAGAUUUGCAACAAGAACUGGAAGUAGCCGCUGACUGGUGGACUGAAAGACAAAGGACUUCGCCUUGUUCCCGAUUCAAAGAGAUCGUUCAGUCGAACAUGUUGACCAGCGGUGGUAACAGAAGAAAGCUGAACUUAAGACAAACUUCACUUAUAACGGCAGACGUGUGACGCAACGGCCUCGAUCCCAAGUAAUUUGGUCAUCAGAAAAGUGGGGCCUGAAAAAAACAUACAUAGAAACAAAUACAUUUAAUGUCUUAGUACCUGCUCUAUUGUACACAGCCCUGCAAACAAGGUUUGCCCUCGCCUGAACCCGUGAGGAGCAUAAGGAAAACGGAUUCUAAGGAAAGAACCUGAGUAGAGCGUCUGAACUGAGA
rnacentral:misc_RNA from 1 species